AAUGCACCAAUUUGUAAGUCGCUCUGGAUAUUAGCGUCUGCUAAAUGACUUAAA
rfam:Salmo salar isolate Sally breed double haploid chromosome ssa21, whole genome shotgun sequence.